rnacentral:rRNA from 1 species
AUGAACGCUAGCGGCAGGCUUAACACAUGCAAGUCGAGGGGCAGCAUAAUGGAUAGCAAUAUCUAUGGUGGCGACCGGCGCACGGGUGCGUAACGCGUAUGCAACCUACCUUUAACAGGGGGAUAACACUGAGAAAUUGGUACUAAUACCCCAUAAUAUCAUAGAAGGCAUCUUUUAUGGUUGAAAAUUCCGAUGGUUAGAGAUGGGCAUGCGUUGUAUUAGCUAGUUGGUGGGGUAACGGCUCACCAAGGCGACGAUACAUAGGGGGACUGAGAGGUUAACCCCCCACACUGGUACUGAGACACGGACCAGACUCCUACGGGAGGCAGCAGUGAGGAAUAUUGGUCAAUGGACGCAAGUCUGAACCAGCCAUGCCGCGUGCAGGAUGACGGCUCUAUGAGUUGUAAACUGCUUUUGUACGAGGGUAAACGCAGAUACGUGUAUCUGUCUGAAAGUAUCGUACGAAUAAGGAUCGGCUAACUCCGUGCCAGCAGCCGCGGUAAUACGGAGGAUUCAAGCGUUAUCCGGAUUUAUUGGGUUUAAAGGGUGCGUAGGCGGUUUGAUAAGUUAGAGGUGAAAUUUCGGGGCUCAACCCUGAACGUGCCUCUAAUACUGUUGAGCUAGAGAGUAGUUGCGGUAGGCGGAAUGUAUGGUGUAGCGGUGAAAUGCUUAGAGAUCAUACAGAACACCGAUUGCGAAGGCAGCUUACCAAACUAUAUCUGACGUUGAGGCACGAAAGCGUGGGGAGCAAACAGGAUUAGAUACCCUGGUAGUCCACGCAGUAAACGAUGAUAACUCGUUGUCGGCGAUACACAGUCGGUGACUAAGCGAAAGCGAUAAGUUAUCCACCUGGGGAGUACGUUCGCAAGAAUGAAACUCAAAGGAAUUGACGGGGGCCCGCACAAGCGGAGGAACAUGUGGUUUAAUUCGAUGAUACGCGAGGAACCUUACCCGGGCUUAAAUUGCAGAUGAAUUACGGUGAAAGCCGUAAGCCGCAAGGCAUCUGUGAAGGUGCUGCAUGGUUGUCGUCAGCUCGUGCCGUGAGGUGUCGGGUUAAGUCCCAUAACGAGCGCAACCCCUACCGUUAGUUGCCAUCAGGUCAAGCUGGGCACUCUGGCGGGACUGCCGGUGUAAGCCGAGAGGAAGGUGGGGAUGACGUCAAAUCAGCACGGCCCUUACGUCCGGGGCUACACACGUGUUACAAUGGUAGGUACAGAGGGCAGCUACCCAGCGAUGGGAUGCGAAUCUCGAAAGCCUAUCUCAGUUCGGAUUGGAGGCUGAAACCCGCCUCCAUGAAGUUGGAUUCGCUAGUAAUCGCGCAUCAGCCAUGGCGCGGUGAAUACGUUCCCGGGCCUUGUACACACCGCCCGUCAAGCCAUGGGAGCCGGGGGUGCCUGAAGUUCGUGACCGCAAGGAGCGACCUAGGGCAAAACUGGUGACUGGGGCU